GAAUAGACGGGGACCCGCACAAGCGGUGGAGCAUGUGGUUUAAUUCGAAGAUACGCGAAGAACCUUACCUGGGCUUGAUAUCCUAAGAACCUUAUAGAGAUAUGAGGGUGCUAGCUUGCUAGAACUUAGAGACAGGUGCUGCACGGCUGUCGUCAGCUCGUGUCGUGAGAUGUUGGGUUAAGUCCCGCAACGAGCGCAACCCACGUAUUUAGUUGCUAACGGUUCGGCCGAGCACUCUAAAUAGACUGCCUUCGUAAGGAGGAGGAAGGUGUGGACGACGUCAAGUCAUCAUGGCCCUUAUGCCCAGGGCGACACACGUGCUACAAUGGCAUAUACAAUGAGACGCAAUACCGCGAGGUGGAGCAAAUCUAUAAAAUAUGUCCCAGUUCGGAUUGUUCUCUGCAACUCGAGAGCAUGAAGCCGGAAUCGCUAGUAAUCGUAGAUCAGCCAUGCUACGGUGAAUACGUUCCCGGGUCUUGUACUCACCGCCCGUCACACCAUGGGAGUUGAUUUCACUCGAAGCCGGAAUACUAAACUAGUUACCGUCCACAGUGGAAUCAGCGACUGGGGUGAAGUCGUAACAAGGUAACCGUAGGAGAACCUGCGGUUGGAUCACCUCCUUUCUA
rnacentral:rRNA from 1 species